rnacentral:rRNA from 1 species
AUGGACGAUACUUUAUGUUGGAUUCAUACCCCUAAUGCAGAGUGUACCACUAAAAGUGCUUAUAAAGCUUUGAUGCAGGAGGCCCAUCCCAGCUUACAAUCUCAAAGUCACACUAUUUCAGAUUCUGAAAUUUCUAUUCUCAAUCAGGUUUGGAAAAGCAAAAACCUGGCUCCAAGAGUCAAAACCUUUGCAUGGAGAAUUCUAAGAAGAGCUUUAGCUUCAGGGCUUAGGGGAUCCAAGUAUUCUACUCACAUUAAAAAGGAAUGUUGCAGGUGCGGCGAGGCGGAGACAGACUUGCAUCUUUUCUUUUCUUGCAAUUUCACUAGAGCUAUUUGGUUCCUAUUUGGUCUUAAGUCUGAUGAGUUCAAUCAUAACUUAUAUCCUUCUGAUGUGAUUCAAAGGAUUUUAUCUUCUCAUCAUGCUGACUUAGAUCUGGAUACCAGUUUCACGUUGCUUUGGAAUAUUUGGAAAGCGAGGAAUGAUCUUCUUUUUAAUAAGAAAAAAUGGAGUAUUAUGCAGGUUAUAUAUGCUACAAACGCUAUGCUAAAUGCGGAGUUAAUGGAGUAG